CCUACGGGAGUCAGCAGUGAGGAAUAUUGGUCAAUGGGCGGAAGCCUGAACCAGCCAAGUCGCGUGAGGGAAUAAGGCCCUACGGGUCGUAAACCUCUUUUGCCGGGGAGCAAGGGCUUGGACGUGUCCCGUCCCGGAGAGUACCCGGAGACAAAGCAUCGGCUACCUCCGUGCCAGCAGCCGCGGUAAUACGGAGGAUGCGCGCGUUCUCCGGAUUUAUUGGGUUUAAGGGGUGCGUAGGCGGGCUUUUAAGUCAGCGGUAAAAAUUCGGGGCUCAACCCCGUCCGGCCGUUGAAACUGGGGGCCUUGAGUGGGCGAGAAGAAGGCGGAAUGCGUGGUGUAGCGGUGAAAUGCAUAGAUAUCACGCAGAACCCCGAUUGCGAAGGCAGCCUUCCGGCGCCCUACUGACGCUGAGGCACGAAAGUGCGGGGAUCGAACAGGAUUAGAUACCCUUGUAGUC
rnacentral:rRNA from 1 species